rnacentral:misc_RNA from 1 species
GAUGAAGAACGCAUUGAAAUGCGAUAAGUAAUGUGAAUUGCAGAAUUCAGUGAAUCAUCGAAUCUUUGAACGCACAUUGCGCCCGCCAGUAUUCUGGCGGGCAUGCCUGUCCGAGCGUCAUUUCAACCCUCGAACCCCUCCGGGGGGUCGGCGUUGGGGACCUCGGGAGCCCCUAAGACGGGAUCCCGGCCCCGAAAUACAGUGGCGGUCUCGCCGCAGCCUCUCCUGCGCAGUAGUUUGCACAACUCGCACCGGGAGCGCGGCGCGUCCACGUCCGUAAAACACCCAACUUCUGAAAUGUUGACCUCGGAUCAGGUAGGAAUACCCGCUGAACUUAAGCAUAUCAAUAAGCGGAGGA